AGUGAACGCUGGCGGUAGGCCUAACACAUGCAAGUCGAACGGCAGCACAGUAAGAGCUUGCUCUUACGGGUGGCGAGUGGCGGACGGGUGAGGAAUACAUCGGAAUCUACUUUUUCGUGGGGGAUAACGUAGGGAAACUUACGCUAAUACCGCAUACGACCUACGGGUGAAAGCAGGGGAUCUUCGGACCUUGCGCGAUUGACUGAGCGGAUGUCGGAUUAGCUAGUUGGCGGGGUAAAGGCCCACCAAGGCGACGAUCCGUAGCUGGUCUGAGAGGAUGAUCAGCCACACUGGAACUGAGACACGGUCCAGACUCCUACGGGAGGCAGCAGUGGGGAAUAUUGGACAAUGGGCGCAAGCCUGAUCCAGCCAUACCGCGUGGGUGAAGAAGGCCUUCGGGUUGUAAAGCCCUUUUGUUGGGAAAGAAAAGCAGCAGGUUAAUACCCCGCUGUUCUGACGGUACCCAAAGAAUAAGCACCGGCUAACUUCGUG
rnacentral:rRNA from 1 species